GAUGAAGAACGCAGCGAAAUGCGAUAAGUAGUGUGAAUUGCAGAAUUCAGUGAAUCAUCGAAUCUUUGAACGCACAUUGCGCCCCUUGGUAUUCCAUGGGGCAUGCCUGUUCGAGCGUCAUUUGUACCUUCAAGCUCUGCUUGGUGUUGGGUGAUUGUCUAUCUUUUUAGACUCGCCUUAAAGUCAUUGGCAGCCGGCAUAUUGGCCUGGGAGCGCAGCACAAGUCGCGCUUCUUGUCAUGAAUGUUGGCGUCCAGUAAGUCUACAUAUUUUGCUCUUGACCUCGGAUCAGGUAGGGAUACCCGCUGAACUUAAGCAUAUCAAUAAGCGGAGGA
rnacentral:misc_RNA from 1 species